CCGACAAGCGGAGGAGCAUUGUGGUUUAAUUCGAUGAUACGCGAGGAACCUUACCUGGGCUUUGAACGUAUGGUGCAUUAGGGUGAAAGCCCUAUUUCUAGCAAUAGACUUCAUACGAGGUGCUGCAUGGCUGUCGUCAGCUCGUGCCGUGAGGUGUUAGGUUAAGUCCUGCAACGAGCGCAACCCCUGUUUCCAGUUGCCAUCAAGUAAAGUUGGGGACUCUGGAGAGACUGCCUGCGCAAGCAGAGAGGAAGUGGGGAUGACGUCAAGUCAGCACGGCCCUUACGUCCAGGGCUACACACGUGCUACAAUGGCCGGUACAGAGGGCAGCGACCUGGUGACAGGUAGCGAAUCUCCAAAGCCGGUCUCAGUUCGGAUCGGAGUCUGCAACUCGACUCCGUGAAGCUGGAUUCGCUAGUAAUCGGAUAUCAGCAAUGAUCCGGUGAAUACGUUCCCGGGCCUU
rnacentral:rRNA from 1 species